rnacentral:misc_RNA from 1 species
AAGUCGUAACAAGGUUUCCGUAGGUGAACCUGCGGAAGGAUCAUUAACAAUUCCAUUUAUAUACACCUUUGUGAACCGACUUCUGGCUGGGUAGAGGCCUUGGUCUCUUAAAAGUCCCGCUGAAGUAGCAAGCGGAAGUGGUCUGUUCUUAGAACAGCCGCGUACGCUUACAUAGACUAUAUUGUUAGCCUAAUUUGUAUUUUUAAACUAAUACAACUUUUAACGGUGGAUCUCUUGGCUCCU